AUGACUCAGUCAGAGCAGAGGAGCCCCUCACCAGCACUGUCUGAUGAAUCAUGUGACAGCUUUGCGUCUGUCCCACUGACACAACCACAACACGCCAACCUAGGAGAAAGAGGCGGAGCCUAUGAAGACUCACAUCAUCUUCUCCCUGCCUACCCGAGGCACUCAUCAGCAGCUCCUGUGGUUCCGCACCCUGCUCCAGCUCUCGUGGUUCCGCACCAAGCUCCAGCACCUGUGGUUCCGCACCCUGCUCCAGCUCCCGUGGUUCCGCACCAAGCUCCAGCACCUGUGGUUCCGCACCCUGCUCCAGCUCCCGUGGUUCCGCAUCUUGCUACAGCUCCUGUGGUUCCGCACCCUGCUACAGCUCCCGUGGUUCCGCACCCUGCUACAGCUCCUGUGGUUCCGCACCCUGCUCCAGCUCCUGUGGUUCCACACCCUGCUCCAGCUCCUGUGGUUUCACACCCAUACCCUGUUCCAGGUGAACCCUACUUAACUGCGGGACAAAGCAUACCUUAUCCAGUCCCAGCAGCACCAGGCUUCCAUCCAGGUUUAAGCGUGCCCUAUCCCAAUCCAGCAGCACCAUAUCCUGCUCCAUCAUACGGCAUGCCGAAGCAGUCUUUGCCCUACUUUGAGAGGGGUAGAGAGAGUGACUUUUGCCCUCCUCAAGAUGGCCCUAGAUACCUGAUGAGCAGUCACAGACACCUAAACGAGCGGUAUAAGUAUCAAGUGCUCCUGGCCCACCUGAAACUACAGAGUGCAGUCCAGCUUGCUAAGGCCUACAUGCACGACCCGAGACCUCACACUGUUGCCUUAAAAACCCUGCAGGACAAGUACGGUCAGCCCCGCCAACUCGUCCAGUGUGAGCUAGCCACCAUCCUAAACUCCCCUGCCAUCAGGUUCGGAGAUGCAGAAGCCUUCGACACCUUUGCCCUAUCAUGCUCAGGACCCUUGAGGGGCAGAAUGGCUAUGAGCUCAGAUGUAGAUCCCACGUCGACCAUCUCUUGA
rnacentral:lncRNA from 8 species